rnacentral:piRNA from 1 species
CAACAUGGGAAAGGAAAAGACUC